AGUACGAGAUGCUACUGCAUCGAAGCAGUCUAUGUCAUACUUCCAAGAAAAGCUUGCACUGUCAUAAACAAAGAAUGCCUGUACCAUAACCGACACAGGUGGGUAGGUAGAGUAUACUAAGGGGCGCGAGAUAACUCUCUCUAAGGAACUCGGCAAAAUGACUCCGUAACUUCGGGAGAAGGAGUGCCUUAUUUCUAAGGUUGCAAUAACAAGAUCCAAGCAACUGUAUACCAAAAACACAGGUCUCCGCUAAGUCGUAAGACGAUGUAUGGGGGCUGACGCCUGCCCAGUGCCAGAAGGUUAAAGAAGUUGGUUAGCAUUAGCGAAGCUGAUAACUGAAGCCCUGGUGAACGGCGGCCGUAACAAUAACGGUCCUAAGGUAGCGAAAUUCCUUGUCGGGUAAGUUCCGACCCGCAUGAAAGGCGUAAUGAUUUGGAUACUGUCUCGGAGAGGGGCUCGGUGAAAUAGACUUGUCUGUGAAGAUGCGGACUACCUGCACCUGGACAGAAAGACCCUAUGAAGCUUUACUGUAACUUGAGAUUGAAAUUGGACUUUAUUUGCGCAGUAUAGGUGGUAGGCGUUGAGAAUAAUCUUGCGGGAUUGUUGGAGCCAUCAGUGAGAUACCACUCUUGUAAUGUUAGAUUUCUAACUUUGUAUCAUUAUCUGGUCAAAGAACAGUUUCAGGCGGGCAGUUUGACUGGGGCGGUCGCCUCCCAAAGGGUAACGGAGGCGCACAAAGGUUUCCUCUGAACGGGUAGAAAUCGUAUCUAGAGUGUAAAGGCAUAAGGAAGCUUGACUGUGAGACCUACAAGUCGAGCAGGGACGAAAGUCGGUCUUAGUGAUCUGACGGUGCUGAGUGGAAAGGCCGUCACUCAACGGAUAAAAGUUACUCUAAGGAUAACAGGCUGAUCUCCCCCAAGAGUUCACAUCGACGGGGAGGUUUGGCACCUCGAUGUCGGCUCAUCGCAUCCUGGGGCGGUAGUCCGUCCCAAGGGUUGGGCUGUUCGCCCAUGAAAGCGGUACGCGAGCUGGGUUCAGAACGUCGUGAGACAGUUCGGUCCAUAUCCGGUGUAGGCGUUAGAAUAUUGAGAGGAGCCUUCACUAGUACGAGAGGACCGAGAAGGACAUACCUCUGGUGUACCAGUUAUCGUGCCAACGGUAAACGCUGGGUAGCUAUGUAUUGAGUGGAUAACCGCUGAAAGCAUCUAAGUGGGAAGCCCACCUCAAGAUAAGUAUUCU
rnacentral:rRNA from 1 species